AACUGCACGGGAUAAUCCAUCUUCUCGUGCGGUUGGGUUAAGUGGACUGCACGGGAUAAUCGAUUAUCCUGUGCGGUC
rnacentral:pre_miRNA from 9 species